AUAAACUAUAUUACAAAAAUUAAAUAUGCACUAUAAAAAGCGGUUCGGCUAAAGACUAUGUGGAAAACAAUUCCCACUUUAUUUUGCUGCUUAACUUUACAGAUGCCGAUGCAGCUUAAAAUACAACUUACUAAGCUGAAGUAUAGAAAUUGUAGGGCGCACAAUGAACGGAUAUCCAUUAUUGAAAAUUGUGAAAAGGUCAUGUUGUCAGAAUGGAUGAAAAAGCUCCAGCAAAGAAGUCUUUUGAAGACAAUCACGGUGGCACACGCAAACCGAUGGAAAGAUCAAUAGGUGAGAGACACCACGAAACCUACCAUCUUGUCGUUAACCACAAAGCCGCCUUCGACAGUCCUAUACGUUCAAAG